AGUGAGAAUUGCCAAAUCAUCCUACUUAUAGAAAGCCUCGGCUACAUUUGAAUACUUCUCUGCAUUCCAGUUAAUGAGAUGAAGCUGAAAAGCAAUUGAAAAGAAUCAUUUCUGCUGGUUCUAUUAUGAAGAUAUGCUGGAAUUUGAGUACAACUGUUAAAAAUGCCACUCUGCACUCUCUGGGUCUGAUCAUGAAACUGAGAACCUGCUUACAAACGCCGGCUUAUUUAUGGUGUUCUGAUGAAUUGUUCAGGCAUUGUCAGUUCCCAUAUCUAGCCAAUAUCUUCAAAUGGGCAGAACUACAGAUAUUCCCAAAAGCAAUUUAGGGGUAUACUGAUGCACGAAACAAGCUGCAUUAGAAAUGAUGGAGUAAUGAGAUCUCCCUCACUGUGGAACCUGCAGUGUUUCAACAGUCAGAAGACGUUUGAACAGGAGGAGGCAUGGUCACAUAUCUGCACUGUGGGAGCUGUGCCCUCUGCUGCCUGCUUGGGCACAGUGAAGAGACAGCAGUCAAAAACGUGUGUACUGUAUAACUUUGACCUGAAACAUGGAGCAAUUCAUUGAUAUCUUUUAAAACAGUUGUUUUCAGAGGGUGAGGUUUUUGUCUGAAAACAACUUCUGACAUGAGAACAUUUGUAAAAGUGCUACCAAAAGUGUUCAUUUCUGUUUUACUGCGAGCUGUGCUGGCAAAUUGAGAAUGUUCUUUUGUUUCUGGUCUCUUAAGAGACUAAGCUAUAUUCCAUGCAAAGAAAAAUCAGAAAAAUUGAGCAGUAUUUUUUCUUCUGUCAGUGACAAAGCAUACAAUUCAUGCUUUCUUCAGAAACAAGGGGUAGAAAAGAGCUAACCCUUCUACCAAAA